rnacentral:rRNA from 1 species
GAUGAACGCUGGCGGCGUGCCUAAUACAUGCAAGUCGAACGAAGAUCUAGCUUGCUAGAUCUUAGUGGCGAACGGGUGAGUAAUACAUAAAUAAUCUGCCCAUUGGACUGGGAUAACUAUUGGAAACGAUAGCUAAUACCGGAUAGGUGAUUUGAAGGCAUCUUCGAAUCAUUAAAGUAGGGUCACUACACCAAUGGAUGAGUUUAUGGCGCAUUAGUUAGUUGGCGGGGUAACGGCCCACCAAGACGAUGAUGCGUAGCCGACCUGAGAGGGUGACCGGCCACACUGGGACUGAGACACGGCCCAGACUCCUACGGGAGGCAGCAGUAGGGAAUUUUCGGCAAUGGGCGCAAGCCUGACCGAGCAACGCCGCGUGAGUGAUUAAGGCCUUCGGGUUGUAAAGCUCUGUUGUAAGGGA